GACGAACGCUGGCGGCGUGCCUAAUACAUGCAAGUCGAACGCAGUGGGGACGGGUGAGUAACACGUGGGUAACCUCCCAUCAGAGGGGAUAACACUUGGAAACAGGUGCUAAACCGAUACUGAUGGAUGGACCCGCUGGGCAUUAGCUAGUUGGUGAGGUAACGGCUCACCAAGGCCACGAUGCAUAGACGACCUGAGAGGGUGAUCGGGCAAACGGGAACUGAGACACGGCCCAGGCGCCUACGGUAGUCGGCAGGAGGGAAGCUUCGGCAAUGGACGAAAGUCUGACCGAGCAAAGCCGCGUGAGUGAAGAGGGUUAUCGGAUCUUAAAACUCUGUUGUUAUAGAAGCGGUAUAUAACCAGAAAGCCACGGCUAACUACGUGCCAGCAGCCGCGGUAAUUC
rnacentral:rRNA from 1 species